GUUCAAGUCCCCCUAUCCCCA
rnacentral:tRNA from 1 species